UUUUUUUUUUUUUUUUUUUUUUGGUCUUUUUGCAGUUCGGGCUGGCCUUGAACUCACUUUGUAGCUCAGGUUGGCCUCAAACUAGCAAUGACCCUCUUGCUUCAGCCUCCCAAGUGCUGGGAUUAUAGGCGUGUGCUACCACACCCAGCAAGUUCUUAUAUUCUUAAUCAUUGAAGUCUUUUCCUGUAAGUGAAAUCUCAGAUUACUUGUAUGUCAAUAAUGAAAAAUUAUAAUUUGAAUUUUUUAUCAUGCUGGACUCAUGCCAUGAAAAUAAUAACAUUAUUUUUAAAAGCAUGAUUUUUGAUGCACAAAGUGCUUUUCCUAUACUAUCUCACUUUAAGUUUUCAACACUUGAAUCCAGAGAGGUCAAAUAGCUUUAUUCAUGUGACAGUAUGUGAUAAAACCCAUCCAGCUCCUCAGAACUGGGACCCUCUUCCCGUCCACUCAGACAUGCUAUGGUCCAAGUUCUCACCAUCAAUAACUUUUUGUAAGUCAUCUAACUCUAAAUCACACUUGCUGUAAUAUGAACCUAUUUGUUUUGCUCUAUCUUUAGUUGGGGUGAAAUUCAACCACCCCAAAAUUAGAAGAGUGUAUUACAAAAUGGUAGGUUGACUUUAUAUAGAAUUUGGAAUCAUAAGGAACUAAGGAGAAAUCAUAGAAACUGAUGAAUUUUGGAACAGACUUGAAUCAUGUGAUCAUGCUUUUCAUUUGCAAGGAAACUGUGUGUAUUUGUGUUUGAAGUGAAUAUGAUAACCCUAAUUACCCCUUCUUCCAGUUCCAUCCCACAUGAGAAAUCUCAUCAACCUCAAGUAAAAAACUACAGUAAAAGAUGUAAAGGUGCAAAUCCGAGUGAUCUCGGAUAUCGUAAGGUCCGAUACACCUUUUAUUUCUGUUCUCAGAUCACCCACAUAGCACCUGCUCUCAGCUUGGUCUGCAAUGGCAUGUUCUUUCUUGGGUUGAGCUCCAAGAACCAGGUCCAAUUACCUUCUUGGCACUGUCAUCCCGCACCUGAAAGACCUCUAUUUUUCCUCAGUUUGAGAAAGAAGUGUGCUUUGUCAUUUGGAUUUGGGAAGGUGAGCUCAGGAUGGAAUGCUGCUGCAAUGCUAGGAUUUUGGCUGCCUCGGAAGUUACGGAGAGAAGAAUUCUUUCUAAUACUACAAGUAGAUCGAUGUCCAGCACCUGUUCUUUCUCUGUGCCUGGAACACCCACUGAAGCCAGGAGGAGCUGGGAUUGGGAUGUGGGAACGGUUGGACGAAGGCCUUUGUCUGCUAAUUUGA
rnacentral:lncRNA from 1 species